rnacentral:lncRNA from 1 species
GGGCGCUCGGUGGUCGAGUGGUUACGUUGUCAUUUUGGGGCCUUUUAUAGCUGACUAUACGGUAUGGGCUUUGCUCAUUGUUGAAGGCCGUACGGUGACCUAUAGUUGUUAAUUUCUGUGUCAUUUUGGCCUCUUGUGGAGAGUUGUCUCAUUGGCAGUCAUACCACAUCUUCUUUUUUAUAAGUAGUCGAACUGCUGUAUCACUAGCAUG